UACGUAGGGCGCGAGCGUUGUCCGGAAUUAUUGGGCGUAAAGAGCUCGUAGGCGGCUUGUCACGUCGGGUGUGAAAGACCGGGGCUUAACUCCGGUUCUGCAUUCGAUACGGGCUAGCUAGAGUGUGGUAGGGGAGAUCGGAAUUGCUGGUGUAGCGGUGAAAUGCGCAGAUAUCAGGAGGAACACCGGUGGCGAAGGCGGAUCUCUGGGCCAUUACUGACGCUGAGGAGCGAAAGCGUGGGGAGCGAACAGG
rnacentral:rRNA from 1 species